rnacentral:rRNA from 1 species
ACGGGUGAGUAACACGUAUCCAACCUGCCGUCUACUCUUGGACAGCCUUCUGAAAGGAAGAUUAAUACAAGAUGGCAUCAUGAGUCCGCAUGUUCACAUGAUUAAAGGUAUUCCGGUAGACGAUGGGGAUGCGUUCCAUUAGAUAGUAGGCGGGGUAACGGCCCACCUAGUCUUCGAUGGAUAGGGGUUCUGAGAGGAAGGUCCCCCACAUUGGAACUGAGACACGGCCAA